rnacentral:rRNA from 1 species
GAUGAACGCUAGCUACAGGCUUAACACAUGCAAGUCGAGGGACCGGCGCACGGGUGAGUCACACAUAUCCAACCUGCCCUUUACUCGGGGAUAGCCUUUCGACAGGAAGAUUCAUACCCGAUAUACAGGAUGGGGAUGCGUUCCAUUAUGUUGUGGGUGAGGUAACGGCUCACCAACCCUUCGAUGGAUAGGGGUGCUGAGAGUAAGGUCCCCCACAGUGGAACUGAGACACGGACCAAUCUCCGAGGGGAGGGAGGAGUGAGGAAGAUUGGUGAAUGGGUGCUAGCCUGACCCAGCCAAGUAGCGUGAAGAAUGAAGCCGUAUGGGUCGUAAACUUCUUUUAUAGAAGAAUAUGUAUUAUAUGAAUAAGGAUCGGCUAACUCCGUGCCAGCAGCCGCGGUAAUAC